AUUGAACGCUGGCGGCAGGCCUAACACAUGCAAGUCGAGCGGAUGAAGGGAGCUUGCUCCUGGAUUCAGCGGCGGACGGGUGAGUAAUGCCUAGGAAUCUGCCUGGUAGUGGGGGAUAACGUCCGGAAACGGGCGCUAAUACCGCAUACGUCCUGAGGGAGAAAGUGGGGGAUCUUCGGACCUCACGCUAUCAGAUGAGCCUAGGUCGGAUUAGCUAGUUGGUGGGGUAAAGGCCUACCAAGGCGACGAUCCGUAACUGGUCUGAGAGGAUGAUCAGUCACACUGGAACUGAGACACGGACCAGACUCCUAAGGGAGGCAGCAGUGGGGAAUGUUGGACAAUGGGCGAGAGCCUGAUACAGCCAGGCCGCGUGUGUGAAGAAGGUCUUCGGAUUGUAAAGCACGUUAAGUUGGGGGGAAGGGCAGUAAGUUAAUACGUUGCUGUUUUGACGGUACCGGCAGAAGAAGCACCGGCUAACUUCGUG
rnacentral:rRNA from 1 species